rnacentral:rRNA from 1 species
AUUGAACGCUGGCGGCAUGCCUUACACAUGCAAGUCGAACGGCAGCACGGGAGCAAUCCUGGUGGCGAGUGGCGAACGGGUGAGUAAUAUAUCGGAACGUGCCCAGUCGUGGGGGAUAACGUAGCGAAAGCUACGCUAAUACCGCAUACGAUCUAUGGAUGAAAGCGGGGGAUCGCAAGACCUCGCGCGAUUGGAGCGGCCGAUAUCAGAUUAGGUAGUUGGUGGGGUAAAAGCCUACCAAGCCUUCGAUCUGUAGCUGGUCUGAGAGGACGACCAGCCACACUGGAACUGAGACACGGUCCAGACCUACGGGAGGCAGCAGUGGGGAAUUUUGGACAAUGGGCGCAAGCCUGAUCCAGCAAUGCCGCGUGCAGGAUGAAGGCCUUCGGUUGUAAC